rnacentral:misc_RNA from 1 species
CUUUACAAUCCGUCGUAGAUUCGUAUUAUUAGAUAAUGCGACAGCUAUACGAUGGAGUUUGCCCAUUCGUGCAGUUCGCGUUACCGCACGUGCGGCAGUUGACUUCAACAAACAUAGCUGUUAGGCGACUAACGAGAGCGAAUUGUAGAGAUUAAUCGUGUUAGGCCACUGUUCCUGUAAACGCGUGUGUUUUAACGGUAAUCGUCUUUCGCAAAUUGUAUAUGUUAAUCCUGCUGCGGUUCUCAAAUGUUUAGAUUUCGAUAUUCGAUUUAGAAAAUAAUAUCUAAUGUUUUAAGAAGAUGUUUAACACGACACUGAUACGAAAGAUCAUGGAUACCAAUAACAAUUUUCUGAUAUUUUGUUCAAAUUUGGAUAAUCUACAGAAACCUCCGUGGCUGCAAUUCACGAACGCUUGUUCCAAACUCUACCAACAUAAUCAUGACAAUCUGAUUUCAUUAGUGCUAAUGAAAUCUCAAAACGUUCUAUACGUGCAACUAGUGAUUGUAUCGAUACCGAUAUGUUUGCAUAGCACACGUGACAUUAUAAUACAUAAUAAUACGUAAUAAUAUACAAUAGUACAUACUUCAUAGAAGCUUUCUGUAAAUGUACAAAUGUCUUCACGAGUCACUGUAGAUACCACGAAUCUCAGUAUCGAGAUCAGUAUCGCUAUCGAUAAAGAGUGAAACUUAUCAUCGAAGUGAUUUUAUCUUUCCCAGUUCGGAUCAAACACCUCAAGUCAAUCAAAAUUCUAUGCAAGAACGUAGUCCUGGCGAGAUACUGUUUAGCGAGCCAGCAUUCAGAAUCGACUUGGACACACGUGUUACCUUUAAAACCUAUCAACGUGCGCGGUCACUAUAGAAACCCUUUCGCCUCCCAUUUCGUUUCCAGCACGAUUCGUAGAUGUACAUGUAAAAGGAUAGGGAGACGGGCGAAUAAACGGCUAGGGGACGAAUUCGUGUUAGGUGUUAACGAUGAGUUGUGGCCAGCCAGAGGAUGAACCCCUCUUCUCAGCCACUGUGAGAAGAUCAAUGAUGAAGCUGUAACCCCGUGGCUCGUACUUUUGCACGGCUCCUAAUGGCUUUGAAAUCGAGCCUCGCUCUAUUCGUGAAAAUUCGUCUGGCUUCGACCAAGGGAAGCGAUGCUCUGUUUCCGUAGUUCGAUUCUCUUCCCAUCUAUCUUGCGGUAUUCUACCUUGUGUUUCGAGUUCCUCGGAUAAUUGUUUUUCAGCUAUCAACGUUCAGGUGUAAAAGGGAUUAUCACUGAGAAAUAUUAUCAGAAAUAUUGUGUAUGUCACGAACGAAAAUAAUUAGGUACAGGUACGUGCUAUUGGACAAGUGCCUGUGUCGAACGUUCCAUACAGGAUUUAUUGGGUUGACAACUAAGUGAUUGCGGAUUUUGCCAUUACCACCUAAUGAUAAAAUCCGCAAUCACUUAGUUGCCAACCCAAUA